rnacentral:rRNA from 1 species
AGAGUUUGAUCCUGGCUUAGGAUGAACGCUGGCGGCGUGCUUAACACAUGCAAGUCGAACGAAGCAUUUAAACAGAUUUCUUCGGAUUGACGUUUAUCUGACUUAGUGGCGGACGGGUGAGUAACGCGUGGAUAACCUGCCUGUAUCUGGGGGGAUAACAGUUAGAAAUGACUGCUAAUACCGCAUAAGCGCACGACACCGCAUGGUGAUGUGUGAAAAAGCCUUGUGUGGAUACAGAUGGAUCCGCGUUAGAUUAGCCAGUUGGCGGGGUAACGGCCCACCAAAGCGACGAUCUAUAGCCGGCCUGAGAGGGCGACCGGCCACAUUGGGACUGAGACACGGCCCAAACUCCUACGGGAGGCAGCAGUGGGGAAUAUUGCACAAUGGGGGAAACCCUGAUGCCAGCGACGCCGCGUGAGUGAUGAAGUAUUUCGGUAUGUAAAACUCUAUCAGCAGGGAAGAAAAUGACGGUACCUGACUAAGAAGCCCCGGCUAACUACGUGCCAGCCGCCGC